AGCGCUUACUACGUGCCAGGCCGGGGGGGAGUUGCUAGUCUGGGGAUGUGACCGUUUAUUGUUGGAUGUACUUUCCCAGGUGCUCAGAACAGUGCUUGGCACAUAACUUAACAGAUACCAUCAUCAUUAUCAGGAGUAGUCCAGCGCUCGGCAUCCGGUAAGGGUUUCGCAAACACAAUGGAUCGGACGAGGGGCGAUAGUUGGCCAGCGUCCUAGAACGGGCUCGUCGGCCCAGACGGGGCCGGGGGGAGGGUCUCCCCCGCCUCUCCCCUCCACCCCCGGGCAGUGGCCCUCAAAUCCCCAGAAAGCCCCGGGCACUGACUCACCAGGCCCGCUUUUAAGCUCCCCCGGCGGGGCGGACGCACACGGCGAAGACCAUGGCCCUCCGACCGUCCGUGGGCCUGUCCGUCCGCCUGCCUCUGCUGCUCUUGCUCCCCUGGCUCGGGACCACCACGGCCACCGGGUGGAGGAAGGAGGUGAGCGGCCCCGGAGAAGAGCUGACCACCUCGGCCUGUCAGAUCUUCACCCUCACUCCACCGGCGGGGACCCCCCGUCCCCCCACCCCGACCAUCGGGGUCACCGGACGGAUGCCCCGUCCAUCCGAAGGGCUCAGACCGCCCAAAGGCCCCCCGCACCGGCCCUUCUUCCCUCCGCGUUGGGGUUUCCAUCCCCACUUCCACCCACCGAGGCCCUGCCGGCCUCAUGGACGCCUCCCGCGUAGGAAGACACAGAGAGGGAGCUCGUCCUCCUCGUCGUCGGAGGAAGAGGAGAAGAAGAAGCGGCGGCAGUGCCGGACCAGGCUGGGGCAUCCCUUCAGGAGAAGCAGAGCGGCCUAGCGGAUAGAGCGAGGGCCUGGGAGUCGAGGGAGCCUGGGAGAGUCGUGUCGGCUGGGCGACCUGGGUCAAGCCGCUUAACUUCCCUGGGCCUCGGUGACCUCGUCUGUAAAAUGGGGAUGAAGACUGUGAGCCCCACAGGGGACAACUUCAUUACCUUGUCUCUAUCCCAGCGCUUAAAACAGUUAUUAUACCGUUAAUAAUAACGGUAUCUGUUAUUAACAGAUACCGCUAUUAUUACUAUUAGGUGGGACACUGGCUGCAUCCAACCUCAUUAACUUCUAAGCGCUUAACAAAUACCAUGAUUAUUAUUACGUGGGACACGGGCUCCAGCCAACCUAACUUCUAAGCGUUUAACAAAUACUAUUAUUACGUGGGACACGGGCUGCAUCCAACCUCAUUAACGUCUAAGCGCUUAACAAAUACCAUGAUUAUUAUUACGUGGGACACGGGCUGCAUCCAACCUGAUUAACUUCAAAGCGCUUAACAAAUACCAUUAUUAUUAUUCUUACAUGGCACACGGGCUGCAUCCAACCUCAUUAACUUCUAAGCGCUUAACAAAUACCAUUAGUAUUAUUAUUAUUACGUGGGACACGGGCUGCAUCCAACCUCAUUAACUUCUAAGCACUUAACAAAUACCAUGAUUAUUAUUACGUCGGACUACAUCCAACCUGAUUAACUAUUAUCUACCCCAAUGUUCAGAACAGUGCUUGGCAUAUAGUAAGCACUGAAUGAGUAGCAUUAUUAUUAUUAUCAGGACUCGGUCAGGCCGGGAGGAGGCCACCCAGGGAACGGUGGCCUGCUUGACCUCCCCGCUUCUCAACCGAUGGAAGACCAAAGAUCGGAAGAGGGCAACUGGCUGACUGGAAGAGGCAGGCGGGUUUCCCUUUUCCCAACACCGCUCCAUCACCUCAGCGACUCAAAUCCCCAAACCACUUCCAAGAGGAGGUAAAUCAGCCCUCCGAGUCUCCGACUGGGGAGGAACACCGGUCCGGGACUGUCUUAAAGUCCGGCCACCCUCUCCUGACUCGUUUCCAACAGGACAAUGCCAGCAGAGAGGAAAUGCAGCCGGAGGCGGUGGAUAAGCCCCGCGACUAGACCGAGGACCUGGCUUUCAGCUGGGUUUCCUGCGUGACCUUGGGCAAGUCACUGAACCUCCCUGGGCCUCGAUUUCCACAUGCUCGUCGCUGUGUGCUGAAAAUCUGUCCGUUUAUUAUUACGUUGUACUCUCCCAAGCACUUUGUACAAGGCUCUGCACCCAGUAAGCGCUCAAUAAAUACAAUUGACUCCCUGGAAAAAGGGGGUAAGGUCCCUGCUCGCCCUCCUAAAAAUGAAAUAAAAAUAAUGGCAUUUGUUAAACGCUUACUGUCUGCAAAGCACUGUUCUAAGCAUUGAUAAUGGCAUAGACCAUGUCUGUCCUCCCCGAUUAGACCGUAAGCCCGUCAAAGGGCAGGGACUGUCUCCGUUACCGAUUGUACAUUCCAAGCGCUUAGUACAGUGCUCUGCACAUAGUAAGCGCUCAAUAAAUACUAUUGAAUGAAUGAAUGAAUGUGUGGGGCAGGGAUUAUGUCCGAUCUGAUUCUUUGGUAUCUAUCUUAAUGCUUAGCACAGCAGUAGGGUUUCAUUCGUUCAAUCGUAUUGAUUGAGCGCUUACCGGAGGCAGAAGACAGUGCUGAGCGCUUGGGAGAGAUUAAUAUAAUAUUAAUAUUGUAUUUAUAUUAAUAACAAAGCCAGCUAGGGACCUGCUCUUCGGCUCUAACCCGGGGUCACAACGGCGCUCACCAACCGGUUGAUCCCUCUGGCCUUCUUCAGCAAGGAAUCUGGUCAGCCCAUGAGUUCGUUCAGUUGCUUUCCUCCAGCUGUUGGCAGCAAAAUUUGCCCGUGGCAGCUUUUGGGGAUGCCAGUUCGAAGUCUUUGGAAGCAACACAAAGGCUUUCGGGAGAGCCAUCUGGGAAAGGGGAAGCUCUGUGAAUUCGCCAGGCCAAACUUUGUCAAGAAAAUGAUAAUAAAAGGAAAACAAAAACCCCAAACACAGCUUUUUCUCUUUCUUCUCCUGUCAGACAGUCUCUCCAACUCCCCAAAAGGGCCAGCUCAGACUCCAAAAACCAGAUUUGCUUGUAUCCGCCCCAGCGCUUAGUAUAGUGCCUGGCACAGGGUAAGCGUUUAACAGAUACCAUAAAAAAUACCACAGGGGAAAAAAUACAUGUGGGAGGAGGAAGUGCUUAGUGCAAAAAGCACAAGAUUGGGAGUCAGAGGUCGUGGGUUCUAAUCCCAGCUCCGUCACUUGUCUGCUGUGUGACCUUGGGCAAGCCACUUCACUUCUCUGUGCCUCAGCUACCUCAUCUGUAAAAUGGGGAUUAAGAUUGUGAGCCCCUUACCUUGUAUCUACCCCAGUGCUUAGAAGAGUGCUUGGCACACAGUAAGCAUUUAAUAAUAAUAAUGAUGUUGGUAUUUGCUAAGCACUUACUAUGUGCCAAGCACUGCUCUAAGUGCCAAGCACUGCUCUAAGCACCAGGGUAGAUAAAGGGUAAGCAGGUUGUUCAUGCGAGGCUCACAAUCUUAAUCCAGUAUUUAACAAAUACUAUUAUUAUUAUGAUGUGGCAUCAGCACCAGAUCUCCCCCUCCAGACUGGGAUCUCAUUGUGUGCAGGAAUAUGUCUGUUUGUUGUUACAUUGUAAUAAUAAUAGCAAUAAUCAUGGUAUUUGUUAAACGCUUACUAGGUGCCAAGCACUGUUCUAAGCGCUGGGGGAGACACGAGGCAACCAGGUUGUCCCCCGUGAGGCUCACAGUCUUUAACCCCAUUCUCCAGAUGAGGUCACUGAGGCCCAGUGAAGUGACUUGUCCAAGGUCACACAGCUGACUGGUGGCAGAGGCGGAAUUCGAACCCACGACCUCUGACUCCCAAGCCGGGACUCUCUCCUCUAAGCCAGAGUGCUUUGGACACAGUAAGCGCACAAUAAAGAUGGAUGGAUGGAUGGAUGGAUGGAUGGAUGGAUGGAUGGAUGGAUGGAUGGAUGGAUGGAUGGAUGAAUGAAUGAAUGAAGGCCAGCGGAACAGCGCCACCUGCGGCCGAUCCCUCCCUGGCGCUGACCCGCACGCAUGCG
rnacentral:lncRNA from 1 species